GAGAGAACAAGGGACGUGAGAAAAAUACUCCAGCUUCCAAGGCUCGGGGAGGCCUCUCUUCCGGAGCGUGCGCCUGGUCACUGAAUUGCUGCCCCAGGGGAUGACGUGUCUGGUGAUCUGGCCUCUGGAAUGUCCCAGCUGAGACAUUCAGACCUCCUCCCACCUUGCUGGGCCUGCUGAACUCUGCUGACAGCAUUUACCCCACGUGGAGCAGGAGGGGAAGGUCAAGAGUCACAGCCUCCCUUUUGGAAUGUUCUGACUGGUUCCUUUCCAUACUGGACUCUCUGCUCUGUUUGGCACUGUUCCUGCAUGAUAAUAAUGACAGACGUUUCACUGACAACUGCUGGAAACUAAUUUUUAAACUCCAGGUCUGUAUUUUUGCUCUCAU
rnacentral:lncRNA from 1 species